rnacentral:pre_miRNA from 10 species
CCGGCUCUCGCCCGGUGGCAUUAAUAUCUCGGUGGGACCUCCAUUUAUGUUGUGCCUACGCGAGUGAAAAUAUGCCACACUUUGAGACGAAUUAAGAGUCCUUUAUUAA